UUUCCGGUUGAUCCUGCCGCCGGCCACCGCUAUCAAGUUCCGACUAAGCCAUGCGAGUCAAGGUAUCGUAAGAUGCCGGCAAACUGCUCAGUAACACGUGGAUAAUCUAACCUUGAGUAAGGGAUAACCUCGGGAAACUGAGGAUAAUACCUUAUAAUUGCUUAAAACUGGAAUGUUUAAGCAAUAAAAGUUCCGACGCUCAAGGAUGAGUCUGCGGCCUAUCAGGUAGUAGGUGGUGUAAUGGACCACCUAGCCUCAGACGGGUACGGGCCCUGGGAGGGGUAGCCCGGAGACGGACUCUGAGACAUCAGUCCAGGCCCUACGGGGCGCAGCAGGCGCGAACACUGUGCAAUGCGCGAAAGCGCGACACGGGGAGCUUGAGUGUCUUGGCAUAGCCAAGACUUUUCUCAUUCCUAAAAAGCAUGAGGAAUAAGUGCUGGGUAAGACGGGUGCCAGCCGCCGCGGUAACACCCGCAGCACAAGUGGUGGUCACUUUUAUUGAGCCUAAAGCGUUCGUAGCCGGUUUUGUAAAUCUUUAGAUAAAGCCUGAAGCUUAACUCCAGAAAGUCUGAAGAGACUGCAAGACUUGAGAUCGGGUGAGGUUAAACGUACUUUCAGGGUAGGGGUAAAAUCCUGUAAUCCCGGAAGGACGACCAGUGGCGAAAGCGUUUAACUAGAACGAAUCUGACGGUAAGGAACGAAGGCUAGGGUAGCAAACCGGAUUAGAUACCCGGGUAGUCCUAGCUGUAAACACUGCCCAUUUGAUGUUGCUUUUCCGUUGAGGGAAGGCAGUGUCGGAGCGAAGGUGUUAAAUGGGCCGCUUGGGAAGUAUGGUCGCAAGACUGAAACUUAAAGGAAUUGGCGGGGGAGCACCGCAACGGGAGGAAUGUGCGGUUUAAUUGGAUUCAACGCCGGA
rnacentral:rRNA from 1 species